rnacentral:rRNA from 1 species
AGUUUGAUCCUGGCUCAGAGUGAACGCUGGCGGUAGGCCUAAUACAUGCAAGUCGAACGGCAGCACAGCAGAGCUUGCUCUGUGGGUGGCGAGUGGCGGACGGGCGAGGAAUACAUGGGAAUCUGCCCAGUCGUGGGGGAUAACGUAUGGAAACGUACGCUAAUACCGCAUGCGCCCUACGGGGGAAAGCCGGGGACCGAAAGGCCUGGCGCGAUUGGAUGAGCCCAUGUUCGAUUAGCUAGUUGGAGGGGUAACGGCCCACCAAGGCGACGAUCGAUAGCUGGUCUGAGAGGAUGAUCAGCCGCACUGGGACUGAGACACGGCCCAGACUCCUACGGGAGGCAGCAGUAGGGAAUAUUGGACAAUGGGCGCAAGCCUGAUCCAGCCAUGCCGCGUGAGUGAAGAAGGCCCUCGGGUUGUAAAGCUCUUUUGUUGGGGAAGAAAAGCAUCCGGUUAAUACCCGGGUGUUCUGACGGUACCCAAAGAAUAAGCACCGGCUAACUUCGUGCCAGCAGCCGCGGUAAUACGAAGGGUGCAAGCGUUACUCGGAAUUACUGGGCGUAAAGUGUGCGUAGGUGGUUUGUUAAGUCUGAUGUGAAAGCCCUGGGCUCAACCUGGGAAUGGCACUGGAUACUGGCAAGCUAGAGUGUGGCAGAGGGUAGUGGAAUUCCUGGUGUAGCAGUGAAAUGCGUACAGAUCAGGAGGAACAUCCGUGGCGAAGGCGACUGCCUGGGCCAACACUGACACU